UAACGCGUGAGGAACCUGGCUCAAAGAGGGGGACAACAGUUGGAAACGACUGCUAAUACCGCAUAAGCCCACGGGUCGGCAUCGACCUGAGGGAAAAGGAGCAAUCCGCUUUGAGAUGGCCUCGCGUCCGAUUAGCUAGUUGGUGAGGUAAUGGCCCACCAAGGCGACGAUCGGUAGCCGGACUGGGAGGUUGAACGGCCACAUUGGGACUGAGACACGGCCCAGACUCCUACGGGAGGCAGCAGUGGGGAAUAUUGCACAAUGGGGGAAACCCUGAUGCAGCGACGCCGCGUGGAGGAAGAAGGUCUUCGGAUUGUAAACUCCUGUUGUUGAGGAAGAUAAUGACGGUACUCAACAAGGAAGUGACGGCUAACUACGUGCCAGCAGCCGCGGUAAAACGUAGGUCACAAGCGUUGUCCGGAAUUACUGGGUGUAAAGGGAGCGCAGGCGGGAAGACAAGUUGGAAGUGAAAUCUAUGGGCUCAACCCAUAAACUGCUUUCAAAACUGUUUUUCUUGAGUAGUGCAGAGGUAGGCGGAAUUCCCGGUGUAGCGGUGGAAUGCGUAGAUAUCGGGAGGAACACCAGUGGCGAAGGCGGCCUACUGGGCACCAACUGACGCUGAGGCUCGAAA
rnacentral:rRNA from 1 species